rnacentral:lncRNA from 1 species
UGCCAUUUCCUCUGCCUCCCACUCCUGAAAUCUGGAUUCCUUCCCACUACUGGUGAGGUAUUGUUUUUCUCUGGAUUCUUUCAAGGAUUUUGUUUGCCUUAGUUUUCAGAAUUUUAGGGAGUUCCUGUCGUGGCUACAGUGGUAACGAACCUGACUUGUAUCCAUGAGGAUGCGAGUUUGAUCUCUGGUCUUGCUCAGUGGGUUAAGGAUCCCGCGUUGCUGUGGCUGUGGCUGUAGAUCGGCAGCUGCGGCUCUGAUUCGACCCUUAGCCAGGGAACUUCUAUAUGCUGCAAAUGCAGCCCUAAAAAGCAAAAAACAAGACAAACAAACAAACAAAAAAAAAAACAGAAUUUUAAUUGUGAGGAAACUGGGUGUUGAUUUAUUUGGGUUUAUCUUGUUUGGGAUUCACUUAGGCUCUUGAACCUGUGGGCUAUGUCUUCUGCAAAAUGUAAGAUGUCUUCAGCCAUUUUCUUUGGGUACUUUCACCAUGUUCUGCUCUCCUUCUGAGGCUUUGUGACCCACCUGUUAGAUUUUUAGUCUGAGGCUCGGGGUUCACAUUCGUUUAGUCUGUUUGCUCUCUUGUUCAGAUUGUUCCUCUAGUUCGCCCAUUCUUUCCUCUGUCUCUUCCAUUUUUCUGUUGAGCACAUUCAUUGAGGUUUUUAUUUCAGUCUAAAAUUUUCAGUUCUAAAAUUUCCAUCUGGUUCUUCUUCCUUCUGUUUCUAGCUGUGGCUUUCUAUCUCUUUUUUGAGACUCUAUUUUUAAUUGUUUUAAGCACGUUCAUGUUUGCUCAAUGACGGAUUUUUGUGUUGGCUGCUUUAAAGUCUUUGUUGGAUAACUACCCUACCAUGUAUCAUCUCAGUGUUGGUGUCUGAGGACUGACUUUCUUCAUUCAGUUUGAGGGUCUCCUGGUUCUUGGGGUGAAGGGUGGAUUUAGACUGGAGCCUGAACAUGGCUAUUAUGAGCCUUUGGUUUUGGUGCUUCCUCUGACGUUGGUCCAUGGGGGCAGGAGGGCACGUCCCUUUUCUUGCCAGGUAGGUGGAGUCCUGGGUCCCCACUCAGGCUCCCUUGACCCCCAGGGGGCUCCUCACUGCUCUGGGUGAGCAUGUUGGGAGUCCCCAUUCCCCUGGGGCUUCAUGGGGGUGUCCCUGGCUGUGAGGGUAGGACUGCCCCCCACGUACCCUGCACUGACAUCAUGGCAGGGGCAGCCCCGUUACUGCUGGGAUGUGGUGAAAAUCCCACUGUCCCCACGGCCUUCUCAGCCACCACCCAGCGGCAGAUGGGGUGGCGCCGAGACUCCGUGGGGGUGGAAGUCCAAGCCCCACGUGUCUCCACCAACAGCAACAUGGGGCUGUGAUCCUGGGGCAGCUCCUGCUGCCUGGAGUGGGUGCAGGCUCCUGGCUCAGCCUUUGUGGGCCUGGUGUGGGGCAGGGCUGCAGCUUUUCUUGUGGGGUUUGGCUGGAGCACAGUGGUUCUUUUCAGAAAGUUCUCUUUCUUGCUGGGCUGCCCUUUUCCUGGUCCUCUGCCCAGAGGACUUCUUUGUCUGUGCCGUUGGCGUUGCCAUCUCCCAGUCUCUGACGGAAUGGGGCAGAAAGCAAGUCCUGGGACUCUGCAGUGUCCUCGUCAGGCUCUGAGGUCGCCGGCCAGUCUGGCCUCUCCUCUCUGCGCUCAGUGUUGUGUGUUUGAUGCCUAGUGUUUCAGGUGUACUUAGGGGAGCAGAAGAGGAAGGCAGACCUCCUCCCUUUUCCCAGAUGCAGACGUCCUGUGGUUAACUUUUAAAUGUCUUUGCCAAAGAACAGACACAGCAAGUGGGGAGCAGGAAGUCUGGGCUUUGUAUGCAAAUUCACCAUCACAUCCGUUCAGAUCCAUCUCCAGAGAGGACUCCGAUUCCUUUCCUGCUGGCGGAGCUCAGGAGCUGACUUCUCUGGGUGGAGGGAGCGCCAAGGUGGGCAAAAGCCAGGACAGAUGCUGCUGCAGAGGGUGGGGACUUUCUGGGGCUCUGGGAGGGCAGCGUCUGAGCGCUGAGCAUGAAGACUUCACAGUUCACACCAUCAGGCAGACGGGCUUAAGUGGCUGUAGCUGGAAGGGAUGCAUCCGUGCAUAUUUCCUGCGGCACCUCGUCUGGGGCAGUUAAUCUUUGCCUGCUCAAAGCAGAAAGCAGUCCUUGCUGGCAGACCAGCUCAGUUUUCAGGGAAUCACUAUAGUGACAAACGCUGUUACCGAGUAUACAGCGGAAAGCGAUUAGUGAGUGCCGGCUGCUGAUGAAGUGUGGCGAGAUUUCCCACGGAAAGGGGAGGGGUGUGAGGCCCAGGGCACCCGCGCACGUCCCUGGUAACAAGGGCUGGCCACCUCUGGAGCCAGUCUUUCCGUUUGCGUGUUGCUUCUAACUAGGGAUGGAAAUGGAAACUCUUUUGGGAUCCAAACCCUGGACAGUUUAGGACUUCAGAAUUCAUACAAGGAAGACUAAGAGCUGAUUAGAGUAACCUUGGACAUAGAUUAUUUUAGAAUUCACAGGUCCACCUGACCUGGAACAAAUAGUCUGCUUCAAACUGCAGGCUACUCUAAAUAGCAAUUGUCACAUGCUGUCAGUCACGAACUGACACUUGGCAAAAGCGUCCCUUGAACCCCAGUCCCAGCUGGCUCUGCUCAUUGGUGACACUGAACGUGGGUUCUGGGACCACAGGCUACUCUGAGGUUCUAGGUGUGGCCCAGGGUUUGAUGGGAGUAGGAGCCCAGUAACGCUUAUGAAGUGAGUUGGCCAGGCUGACUACUUGUUCCAUGUCCCGAAUCAAUAGGAAGGUUAGGGUCUGUUUGUAUUUGGCUCUUGAAGUUGGUUGGCCUUCAGAUGAGCAAAGACGUUUAUUCCAGUUCAGGGUUCUAGGUUUACUUUGCAAAUGUGAUCUGAGCUUUGGAAGUGACUUUGUGUUAAUGUGGGACCUGAUUUGGGAUGUGGGCUUGGUCUUGGAAAAUAUCAAACCAUUCUCUAAUAUUAAACACAUCCCAUAUAUGUGUCACUAUGCCCCUUGGUCACUGCCGGCUGUUAGUCCAUUCAUGGGGACACUGGGGACUGCGUUAUGUGUCGUUUUAGCAGCUCCUUGUGUCAUAGCGCCCUGUGGUUCUGGUUCAGUUGUGUAUGUGGAAUCAGUGCCUCUCUUUCUGCGUCAGUUAGAACUGGGCCCAACCUCACUGACUCAACCCCACAGAGGGGUACGAAUGUGGUCUGCAGGCUGCCCCUGGCUGGCAAAGGAUCAGGGCUGGUGUGGUGUGUUUUUAACCGGGCGCAUUGCUGCCUCCAACGAAGUGGGAUUGUGUCGAUGAAAAGGAAAGGAGGAUGGUACCCGGCUGACAGUCUGCACGGUCACGUCCACCAUUCCCCAGGCUGGAUACCUUUCUUACGGCUUCUUUACACGAAGGCGGUCAGGGUGCAUUUGGGGCAGGGGUCCUGGGGGGUGUCUUGGACUUUGCUUUUCUGGUCAACCAAGAUGGGAACAUGAGUUUGCCCAGCUGAAUGUCAACAUCAGACAGAAGGAAAGGUCCUGGCAGUAUGAAUUCUUAGAGAAACAGGAACCACUACAGUAGAUGUUGCAGCUCAGCUCACAGCAGAUGGGGGUUGGGGGGGGGCAGGAAACACCGUCCCUGCUGGCGUAGUGCCGCCUCGGGCUCUCAGCUGGACGACCAUGGCUCUGUCUAGCGUAUGUACAGAGUCCCGUCUCCUGGAAAUGGGUGGGAAAACGGGGGCCUCGCCAGGGCACACCCAGGCUUAUGCUCCUGCCUCUGGGGUGAGGUCUUGACUUUCUGUGUCCCCCACCGCAGUGCCCCCUCCGCAGUCGCUUUCCCCUUUCCCUCAUUUCUGAUCUCGUGCCAACCGUCUGUGUGUGGUCCUUAUGCCCAGAGGGACAAAGAACAAGAAAGUGGCCUCACCCUGUCUGGAUCCCUCUGCUAAGUCCUGCUGGUGCCAUCGUCCACCCAUGUUCUCCCCUGCGCUCCCCGUGAGCUCUCCUCUGCUUUGGACUCCUAGCGCUUCUAGGAGAUGCCAUGGGUGGAUGGAAGACAUUGCAGCUGAACAAAGCGUGGCCCCCUCUUUGUAACUCCAUGGCAGGUGCUUUGAUAGAUUUCAGAUUUGUGUGCUGGAUUAGACGCUAUAUUUUUAAAUUGGUAUGAUGGACAAAUAGCUGUUAGUAUCAUUCAGCACUGAAAAUAUGUCGGUUUAAAGCUUUACAAGUGGUUUGCCAACAGCCUCAGAGUGUAUCAGCUUAGACCAGGGGCCAUGAGCCUCCAGGUGAAGGCCCAGCGAGGCUGGUCUUGGUGCAGCUUCUCCCACGUCUGAGGUCAGCUGGUCCAGGAGGGCUUCACACAGGUAUCACGCUGUUGGCCACCUGGUGGCUGGGCCGCAUGGCAGCUGGGCCCUGGUGCUGGUACCCGGCAGGCCAGCUUCGGUGUGCUCACACGGCAGCCUUGGGGCUCUGGGAGGGUGGGAGGCUGAGGCCGCUCCCCUCACCACUUCAAUUGUCCAAAAUGUCACAGGUCAGCCCAGGGUCAGGAAGGAGACACCACCCCCAAUGGGAGCAGGUGUAGAACCACAUGGGGAAGUGGGAGGUCCCAACCGGGCUUUUGCAAAAUCUGCAUUCUUAAUCCAACAGUCCUGUGAGGUGGCCCCACUCUUCUUCCAUCUUACUUGUGAGGAGAUGGAGGCUUACGGGGCUAAGUGACUUUGCUCUAAAUCGUGCCUCUAGCAGACUAGGCCUCACACUCAGAUGUUCUUGCUCCAGAACCUGCUCGCUUUGCUGCUCCUACUGGUUUUACACCGGCAUCAAGGUCAGCUCGGGUGGAGAGCACCGUCACCAAGAUAUGUUCCAGUAGUUCCCGUCGUGGCGCAACGGAAACAAAUCCACUAGGAACCAUGAGGUUGUGGAUUCGAUUCCUGGCCUUGCUCAGUGGGUUAAGGAUCUGGCAUUGCCGUGAGCUGUGGUAUAGGUCACAGACGUGGCUCAGAUCCUGUGUUGCUGUGGAUGAGGUAUAGACUGGCAGCCGUAGCUCUGAUUCGACCCCUAGCCUGGGAAUCUACAUAUGCCACAGAUGUGGCCCU